rnacentral:rRNA from 1 species
UACGUAGGGGGCAAGCGUUGUCCGGAUUUAUUGGGCGUAAAGAGCUCGUAGGCGGUUUGGUAAGUCUGGUGUGAAAUCUCCACGCUCAACGUGGAGGGGCCACCCGAUACUGCCAUGACUGGAGUCCGGUAGAGGAGUGUGGAAUUCCUGGUGUAGCGGUGGAAUGCGCAGAUAUCAGGAGGAACACCGAUGGCGAAGGCAGAUCUCUGGGCCGUAACUGACGCUGAGGAGCGAAAGCAUGGGGAGCGAACAGG